rnacentral:misc_RNA from 1 species
UGUGUCACAAACCAACGGUUUGGCACAUACGGACAUUGAAAUAUUGGCAACAGCCCGAGGAGCCGGAAGUCUUUAUCCUGUUGCCUACUGACAAAUGUUUACAGUUUACCAAUAGUUUCACAUAAAUAGUACUAUUUCCUCAUAGUACAGUGCAAUGUGAUGUCCGAAAUGUCUGACAAAAUUAGGUAAUAACACGAAAUAUAUGCAAGGCAAUAUAAGGUAUAUGUAUAGCUUGGAAAUUGUGACCGUUGCUCGCUCGCUCCG